rnacentral:rRNA from 1 species
ACGCUCGACACCUACGGGAGUCAGCAGUGGGGAAUAUUGCACAAUGGAGGAAACUCUGAUGCAGCGAUGCCGCGUGAGGGAAGAAGGUUUUCGGAUUGUAAACCUCUGUCUUUGGGGACGAUAAUGACGGUACCCAAGGAGGAAGCUCCGGCUAACUACGUGCCGNAGCCGCCGGUAAGUACUGAGGCGGGCGUGGCGAAGGACG